UACGAAGGGGCUAGGCGUUGUUCGGAAUUACUGGGCGUAAAGCGCACGUAGGCGGAGUCGAUCAGUCAGGGGUGAAAUCCCAGAGCUCAACUCUGGAACUGCCUUUGAUACUGUCGAUCUGGAGUAUGGAAGAGGUGAGUGGAAUUCCGAGUGUAGAGGUGAAAUUCGUAGAUAUUCGGAGGAACACCAGCGGCGAAGGCGGCGCUCUGGGCCGGUACUGACACUGAGGAGCGAAAGCGUGGGUAGCAAACAGG
rnacentral:rRNA from 1 species